rnacentral:rRNA from 1 species
CCUACGGGCGGCAGCAGUGGGGAAUAUUGGACAAUGGGGGGAACCCUGAUCCAGCCAUGCCGCGUGUGUGAAGAAGGCCCUCGGGUUGUAAAGCACUUUCAGUGAGGAAGAACGCCUGGUGGUUAAUACCCAUCAGGAAAGACAUCACUCACAGAAGAAGCACCGGCUAACUCCGUGCCAGCAGCCGCGGUAUACGGAGGGUGCGAGCGUUAAUCGGAAUUACUGGGCGUAAAGCGCGCGUAGGUGGCUUGAUAAGCCGGUUGUGAAAGCCCCGGGCUCAACCUGGGAACGGCAUCCGGAACUGUCAAGCUAGAGUGCAGGAGAGGAAGGUAGAAUUCCCGGUGUAGCGGUGAAAUGCGUAGAGAUCGGGAGGAAUACCAGUGGCGAAGGCGGCCUUCUGGACUGACACUGACACUGAGGUGCGAAAGCGCGGGUAGCAAACAGGAUUAGAUACCCCAGUAGUC